UCCGAGUUGUCCCCGGCGGUCCCCUUAGAGUCCCCGGCAUUACCCGCUGGCAACUAAGAGCAGGGGUUGCGCUCGUUGCGGCACUUAAGCCAACACCUCACGGCACGAGCUGACGACAGCCAUGCAGCACCUGUGCUAGCCCCUUACGGACACGGGCUUUCACCCGCUUUAACUAGCAUGUCAAGCCUAGGUAAGGUUCUUCGCGUUGCAUCGAAUUAAGCCACAUACUCCACCGCUUGUGCAGGCCCCCGUCAAUUUCUUUGAGUUUUAAUCUUGCGACCGUACUCCCCAGGCGGCAUGCUUAUCGCGUUAGCUUCGAUACUGCGUGCCAAAUUGCACCCAACAUCCAGUUCGCAUCGUUUAGGGCGUGGACUAC
rnacentral:misc_RNA from 1 species